rnacentral:rRNA from 1 species
AUUGAACGCUGGCGGCAUGCCUUACACAUGCAAGUCGAACGGUAACAGGUAUUCGGAUGCUGACGAGUGGCGAACGGGUGAGUAAUAAAUCGGAAUGUGCAUAGUAGUGGGGGAUAACUACCCGAAGGAGGGGCUAAUACCGAAUGAGAUCUACGGAUGAAAGCAGGGGAUCGCAAGACUUUGUGCUACUAGAGCGGGCGAUGGCGGAUUAGGUAGUUGGUGGGGUAAAAGCUUAACAAGCAGACGAUCUGUAGCUGGUCUGAGAGGAGGAUCAGCCGAAAUGGAACUAAGACACGGCCCAGACUCCUACGGAAGGCAGCAGUGGGGAAUUUUGGGCAAGGGGCGAAAGCCUGAUCCAGCAAUGCCGCGUGCAGGAAGAAGGCCUUCGGGUUGUAAACUGCUUUUGUACGGAACGAAAAGCUCUGAGUUAAUACCCUGGGGUCAUGACGGUACCGUAAGAAUAAGCACCGGCUAACUACGUGCCAGCAGCCGCCGUAAGAC